rnacentral:rRNA from 1 species
GACGAACGCUGGCGGCGUGGAUUAGGCAUGCAAGUCGAACGGUAUCAUCCUUUCGGGGGUGAGAGAGUGGCGAACUGGUGAGUAACACGUAGGUUAUCUACCCUCAAGACGGGGACAACCCAGGGAAACUUGGGCUAAUACCGGAUGUGAGCAACUUUUUAGUUGUUUGAAAGGUGGCGUAAGCUGUCGCUUGGGGAUGAGCCUGCGUCCUAUUAGUUAGUUGGUGAGGUAACGGCUCACCUAGGCAAUGAUAGGUAGGCGGCCUUAACGGGUGGUCGCCCACACUGGGAUUGAGAUACGGCCCAGACUCCUACGGGAGGCAGCAGUCGAGAAUAGUCUACAAUGGUCGGAAGACUGAUAGUGCGACGCCGCGUGAACGAUGAAUCCCUUCGGGGUGUAAAGUUCUUUUAUAUGUGAGCAGUGCUUCUUAUAUUAACAGUAUGGGGAAGAGAUAUUAGCAUAUGAAUAAGCAACGGCUAACUCCGUGCCAGCAGCCGACGGUAAACUGUA